CGGUCCCAGCGUGCCCCGCGGCAGCUUCCGGCCGAGCGCUGUGGAAAGUUGGCUUGGCUGGUGAGUGGCUCCUGCGGACGCGGCUUUGCCUAGCGGGCCCGGUCUCGAGCGCUCCCCUGCGCACUCUAGCCUGCAGCUGUCGUCUGCGAAGUAGGAUCCGGGUGCAGAGAUGCGGUGUGGCCGGGGGCCGGCACCCCCACCCGCUGUGGGGAGGCGUGGGCACGAGGCAGCCCGGUGCGCCGGCCCGUUUGCCUCCGGGCGAAGCACCUUUCAGAAACGCUGAGCCCUUGCGGUUUACACGAGGAAAGCACGGCCACCGAGGCCCUACGGCGCCCUGGUGCCCCCCUGUGCGGGCGGUGGGCUCGCGAAGACCGCCCAGACACGCCCUUUGCCCGCAGCUGCCAAGCUCGUGGCGUAGAUAAAGCCGCCAGAAACAAAUUCUGGCGGUUAGAGGUGAGAAACGGCGUUCGAGGAGCGUGGACAGGGACGAGGAGUUGAGAACUUCAGGAAGCAAGCACGUGGUGUUGGUAGCGCCUUGGCCGUUUGUUGAUGGGGACACAGAGCACAGAUGUGGCUUGAGGGUAGUGCUGCUGUCCAGCAGGAGGUGCCUAGAGGUCCGGUACUGGAUGAAAACAUAUCCCAUCUGGGCGACCAGCUUCACAAACCAGCUGAACCUGAGUGGAGUGAAUGAGGAGCUUGAGGAAAAUACAGAAAGAGAUACAAAAAUGCACAGAAACCAAAGCUGGGAUCCAGAGGUUCACUGCCCAUGGAUGGUUGACAAAUGAUGCAGUUAAUUUUCUGAGCACCACUUAUAUACAGAAUCUCAUAAUGAUGUCACUUCCGUUUCUAGUGAUCUCACUUCUGGUGAUGUCACUCCCUGGUGCAGAGAUCUGGUGGUGUCACUUCUGGGGUGACAUCACAUCUGGCUCUCCACACCCACCUGUUAGCUUCUAGAUGUGUUUCCCAUGAGGGGAGAAUGUCUGAUCUGACUUUGCACAGGCCACGAGCCCCCCAUAGUCCUAUCAGAACAAGCUACCUUAGUGUCCCAAGAGGUUGUAUGGGUCCCGUUACCUGUGCCCUUCAAAGCAGAAUGGAAGGUCACAGUGAGACAGGACUCUGGGCCCAGGCAGAGCUAGUGAGAUGCAGUACCCUUACACUGAUCUGGUGUUCCACAUCUUGCUGUCCGACUGCUGCUCUGCAAGGCUUAGCCAGUUCUGCACAAGCAGUGGGGAGCUCCAGGAAUGCAUGUGGGCCCAAGGAUGUCACCUGUGAGGCUUCCUAUUACUCACAGUACAUCUCUUCCUCCCUGGGAUGCGAGUGUUGUGUGUACCCCGAUGACAGGUCAAGGUGGAGUUCUUUAUGGAGCUUUGCUCACACUGAGAGCCCCUGAAAUCUUCCCCCAGCAUGAGUGGGCACUGCUGGGGAAGGUUUUCCCACACCACCCAUGUCUUGGUGGGCUCUCCCCAGGGUGGCUUCGCUGGUGAGCGCUGACCUGGGAGCUGAUGUGAGUCUUCCCACAGAUGGCGCACUGAGAUGGCUUCUCCCCGGUGUGGGUCCUGGGGGGACCGUGAGGCUGGAGCUCGGGUGGAGGCUUUUCCCACCCUGGAAGGGCCUCUGCCCGGUGUGCAUUCAUGGGUGGGCAGUGAGGGAGCAGCACUCUCUAAAUUCCUUCCCACAUUCAUGGCACUCGGGUCUCCUGUCUGGACUCUGAUGACCAACUAGGUGAGAACUUCACCUAAAGCUUUUCCCACAUUCGUGACAUUUAGAAUCUUUUUCCCAUUUGGGGGCCGGGUGGUGGUGCAGGGAGAGCUCUGAGGGCAGUUACUCCCUCACAGGAGAGGGGCACUGGUCUGCACCCCUGUAGAAAGUCUCGCUGACUCAUGCUCUCCCCACACCGUGUCUCCUUGCUCUCCCCUGGAGAACGUCUGUGGCGCCUUCUGAGCAUGGCUCACCCCCUGGAGUCCAUGGAGCUCAGACUGCUGGACACAACGCAAGACCUUCCCCAUGAAUGUUUCUGUUCCCUGUGAGCAUCCCGUUUUGGAUUCUCUCUUAAUCCCAUUCUUGACCUCAAAGCCUGAAAGGAAAGAACUACAUUGUAAUAGAGAGAAGGAAGGAGAAUGGCAUGAGGAAGGAGCUGCCGUUCAACCACAUAGAGAAGAUACUUCUCCCGGGAUCCGUCUUCUGAAGCUGAUUCCGGUGAAGUGCUGUGAGCCCCCUGUGACACAUCUGAGCUCCAAACUCUGGGCACGGGUACAUGGGCCCCAAAGUCCACCCAUCUUCCUCUUCUGGCACUUUUUGGAAGUUCUGACACCACGGCAAGAGGCAGAGAGGUGAACUGUGCUUCAUCUUGUCACUCAGUCACCUAUAGGGGUGUGUUCUCAACUCUUGUCCCAGCCUCUGGAGCAGAAUAACAGAAGGCCACCCUGGGUUUGGCCAGCUUGACCACGAAGAGGGCAAGGUGCUGAGUACCUGGCACACGCAGGUAGGGAAUGACAGGAGGGUCCAUGCUGGAGAAGAGGGGAUGGAGAGGGUCUGGAGGAGGCCUACCUAGCAACCCAAGGACGCAAAGUAAAGGAUCUGCACUGGAGAAAAUAACCUGGACUCCACAAAGGAGGCUGGCAAAUGCCAAAUCAGGGCUCUAACGUGCAAGGGAGAAAAUGCCAACAGCGUGAAAACCAUGACUCCCUGCCCGACAGAAGGUCACAUGUCAACAUGGUGACAAGACAAGCCAGAAAGGGCCCCCUCUUCAUGCUGGGCUGCUGGCCUCUCAGUGGACACACUUUUCUCAUCAGGCCCUGAGUCCUACACGUCUGUGUGGGAACAGCCCUGGCAGGUCCCAUCCACCUUCCUGGCUGGGAGCCCUGAAGCCCUUUUCAUCCUCGCCUGUACCAUGCACACUGGCCCCUGCCACCUCGCCCCCGUGGUCUCCCCAGUCAGCUCCGCAGACGGCACAUCGCUGCCUUCUUGGCUGGCACAGCCUCGCUUGCCACAGUAGGUGCAGAGGCCCCGAGGCUGGACGGCAUCCUUUCCACCUGGAAGAUCAGGGCCCAGGGACGUGGCCUCUCCUCCCUUUGCGGUCACUCAACCGCAGGCUUCUGAACUUGGAGCGACACUGCUCCCAGCGUUGUUCCCCAGCGCCCCGUAGAUCUUCCCUUCUGCUGACGAGUGUGGAGGUUUUCAUAAAACAGAAGUACCGAGAGUGGCCAGGAGUGUCUUGGUCUCUGUGUAGCCCAGUGCCCUCCUGCCAGGGAUCGGGGCCCAGCCGUUGCACAGGGUGGACCCAGUAUCCUGGCGCUGCUGUUAGCAGCCCAGGAAGUUACGUAUUAAUUUCUCAAACUCUGCCACAACUGGCUGCUGCCAUUCCUGAGUGUUUUCCCUCAAACAAAGUCUGUCAUUGUCAUGGAAGAGACAGCCUCUGCAACUGAGAAGAAGAGUGUGGACCGGAGCCUCCCUCCUCAUUUCUCCCUGAUUCUGGAUCCCACUCAUUUUUCAUGUGAUAAGCCACGAUGAGGGUCGUGUUCUCCAGGCUCUGCCCUGGGGUUCCCUGAGGGUUGUGGCCACAUGAGGGGACGUGGUGAACAGGCGAGCCUUGGAGGAAGGCAGAGGCUCAGCGGAGAGCCCGCUUGGGCGAUGAUACUUCUGCGUACUCCCUCUGCUGGAGCCAGUGUAACCCCGGUCUGGCUCUUCCCUGUGGUUGUAUUUCCUGGCAUCACUUAGCUGCAGGAAACAGCAAUCAUUCGUGACUGAGAUCAGCAGCAUACACCUGAGAAGGGCAGAGCAGGCUAGUUGGUUACUCAGGAACUCCCAGUGUGCACCUGGGCCGGGUGGUGAGGGCUCAUUUGUCCAGGGCUGUCCCGGCAGGUGCCUUCUCGUGGCCUCUGCUCGUGAUGCUCUGAAGGGCACACCCUCCUCGCCCCUCUGCUGCCCUCUGCUGCUAGCCCGUCACCUCAUGCCUGUGUUACUGCCUUGGCCUCCAAGAGUGAGCGACCUCCUGUCUGGUAUCAUGAUUAUCACAGUCCUGUAAAAGCCUGUGUAAUAGGGGACACAUAUAUGUGUACAUAGUUACAUGCCAGAUGAACUGAAAUACUCUAAACUGGCUCUUCUAAAAAUAUUUAUCCUCUGUUCAGAAGCAUUUCACUCAGUAAAAGUAAACGUUCUUACAAAGUCUUUAUGUAGGACUUCCCAAACCCUGUAUUCUCAAAUUAUCUGUGAAGAAGGUUUUUUGUGUUAUAUAAAAUACAACAAAAGCAGUUGCACGGUACAGUGUCAAACUGCUCUAAGUCUGGAAGCGCCCGCCCCACCUCGGCUCCCACCUCCUGCAGCAGCGGGCUGUGCCCCAGCUCUGACCUCAUGCACCCUCAUCCUCUGUCUGUGCUGAUCACACUGGUCCCCUGUGCUGGCAGCUCCCUUCCCCUGUAACACCCUCACCCCAGAGAGCCACGUGGCUCCUUCCUUCUGCUUCAGGCCUUAAGAGUUCCUUGGUGAGAACUCCUCUGGCAGCCCAAACUAAACAGGUGGCCCACCGCAGCCCUGCACACUUGAUGACUGAUUCUGCAGUGGAACCCGAUUCUUAGGCUGACUUGACAAGUCUGGGUUCCCACAGCAGCAGCUGCUGGGCAGCACCCGCCUUCCACACCACAGAGAGAGAACUGUUCCCCAGGCUGCCAUUGUCAUGAUGUGCUGUAAACAAAACCGAGACACAGCACCUAGUCAGACAGUUCACUGCUUUUGUGACAGAAACAUACCUGGCUUAAGCUUUCUAGUUUCACAACUCCAAAGAAAAUCCUUGGUUUACCCAGACAACAUAAGGGGUUAGGGACCCUGUGUGCACGUGCACACAGCCGAAGGAAUGGCUUUACGCUGGGUAUCCAUGAUAGCCUUUAUCCCAACAUACCCCAACAGUGAGGUAACAGGAGCCCCCUUCCAUUUAAAGCCGGAAGACAGAACCCAGCGUGGGGGAGCACUUGCCCACAGGUGAUCAGUACCAGGUCGUGUGCAGGCCCCUCACCCUAGCGGCUCUGGAGCAGCCUGGGGGCGCCAGGGCUCCCAGUUUCCCAGACGCACUGCUUGCUGUUGGACUUGUAGCUGUCUCGAGUCCGCUGUGCCUGCUCCUUCCACGUUCUUCCGCUUCCACAGGCUUUGACUUGGCACUGUGGCCUCGAUAGCCCUGUCCUUCAAGCUCCCGGGAGAGGUGGACGAGCCAUGAAGCCAGCAGGGCCCCUGUCUCAUCCUGAAAGGCGCAGUCCGCGCUGUGGCCUUGUCUCCCUCCACAGUAACUGGUCCCAAAGCUUCUGAACGGCCUGAGUCUGAUGGAAACCCUGAGAGUCAGCAGCCUCCCCGCACAGCUGCCUGCUUUGCUGGUUCACCUGGAGUUUCUUAUAAAACAGGCUCCCUGAGAGCAAACAGGAGUCCUGGCCUCCUUGGCAGCCCAGGGAAUGCCUGCCACCCUCAUUUGCCAAACCUGGCUGGUUGGCAUCACCCCUGAAGUUUUCUCCCUCUGCCAGUGUCUCCUAGGCUCCCCCCUGGUCCCGCCUGUGGAACUUGUAGCACUUUCCCUCACUCUGCAGCUGCGAGUGUCUGAAAUCGGGGUGUUCCCUUUGAUCCAGCCCAGACAUCACAUUGGUACCAUAAGCGAAGAAGCAGGGAGGAGCCACGAACACCCACACCAGCGGCAGGGCCUCUGUUUCUGACUCUGAUGUCAGGGGGGUCACUCAAGAUGAGCAGCCCAAGUGAUCUGAGAAAAAGCAAGAGCCUUUUCCUGAGACGGAAAAGGGUUCAUGGUGCCUCCUGAGGGGCCUGGGUGUGGACCUGGAGUCGCAGGUGGGUUGUCUUGUUCUUUCAUGUCUGCUGCUCAGGAUAUGCCAGCAUUGUGAGUGCACGUCUAUUCAUCUCCCACAAUCUGCCUCCCUGGCUGCACCGUCUCCCCUGCCCCCACGCUCUGUCACACGCCGUCAGCCCCGUGCCCCUGCUGUGCUGCGCAUGUCCACCCUCGGGGGCCCUGUGGCACUUGCUUUCCCUUUCUCCCAGUCCCUGUCUCUCUUGCCUACCCUUAGUACAUUCUUACCCAUUUUCUGUUUCCCUCUACCAAGCAGUCUCCACCAUGCCUCUCCUUCCUGGGUGGUUUGGUCUCGUUCUUUCUGAACAACGGAACACAUCACUCUGAACCUAGAUGGAAUAUGGAUCCUUACCCAGUGAGAUGCUUAUCACCCGGGUAGGAGGGCUUCUGUGCCGCACCAGGGUGCUUUUUGUCCUUCCUGACAGAUUCAGCUCUGCCCUCCUGUGUGACUGUUCCCUGUAACAACACCGGGUGUGCUGCUAUGGAUAAAAUAGCUCCCCUCUAGCGUGGGGUGGGAGAGACAGGACCACAGUCCUCAGACUGGGGCAAGGCAAGGAGGGGGAGGUCAGGCCCCCGGGGGAAGGAUCCGGAUGGGCAGAGGUACGUGAUGUCAGAGUAGACAAAGAAAAUAACCCCAGAUCAAUGGACCACAUAAAAAUCUUUCUAUCAUACCUAGACAGAGGGUUUAUAGGGUGAGACAGUGCAAGGUGACAUGGGAACCUCAGGAGAGAAAAGGCCUCAACCCCAGGUCACCUAGGCCCCCGCUGCCCCCUGCACAGCCCUGUCUCCUCAUCUUAAAGAUCUGACCUGGACGCAGAUCCUGGGAGCCUGUGGAAGAAACCAGGUGGGAGAAAACGGCUGCUGUUUGAUGGCGGCUGCCACGUGAUGGCCCCAGAGCAGAGGGUCGGAGUGGUCCUGGACCAGUAGCAUCACCAGCACUUGGGAACUGUCACAUAUGCAUGUUCUUGGGCCUCACCUCAACUCCAGUGAACAAGAAAGUCUGUUUUAAUGUGCUCCCAGACCAAGAUAAUAGUCUUCCUAGAUCCCCACCUUGCCGGAAAUGUUCAUUUGAUGACUUAUUACUGGAACUCAAAGGUCUGUGACCCUUGGGGAGGUUAUAACUUGGGAUCUGAGCGGCCCUCGGGCACGGUGAGCAGGGAGUGGGUGGAACCUGGAACACAGUGAGUCCUGCCCCUUCUUUCCUCAGACCCCAAAGCCUUAGAAUCAUGCAGAGAGCACAGAUGCUGCCAGGGAUUAAGAAAAAUAAAUGUUAAGUGGCAGAGUCCACAAAGAUAUUGGUAAGAGUAGUGAUUGCACUUUAAAAAAAAACAUGAAAACAAAUAAACCUCUUUGACGACUUCCAGUUCAUGAACUGAGGCUUGCCAAUUUAAAUAGCAUGAGGAAAGGAUUUUUCCUCUAGGAUUUCAGUAUAAAUUUAUGAGCUGGCUUUUGAAAAUUACUUAGCAACAUAUAACGGCAGCUUUCAAUUGGGCAGAAAAGUGGGCAGCGACCUCAGGUGCAGCCAAAACGGGCUGUUGCUGCGAAGAUCUGUUUUCUCUGUGCAGAGUGGCAUGCCUGGGGACUCUGCGUGGCAUGCCCCAGUGGCCUCAGUAAACUGACUCCCUGGUUGCCAUAACUGGUUACCACUUCCAUGCUGAGGAUCAGAUUCCAUUUCUUCCAUCUCUGGGAAGCCACCGUCUUGGACACCAGUGAAGGAGUGUCUUCCCGGACUCAGGGGAUUGCAAGUGUUGUGGGAAUGCAGACUCAAAAGUUGAAAAAGAUGACUUUGAAGGGAGGCUGAAGGGAAUAGAAAAAGCAUGAAAUUGUCCCACAUUAUUUCUCUCUGCUUCUGGUGAUUUACUUCCUAUCCAUUUCCUUUACUGCCUUCAUAAUCCAAGGACCCAAAGUACAGAAAAUACCAGAAAACCUUUUUCUCCUCAGCCAAAAUCUGUUGUCUAGUGCUAAUGAAUUACCCAGACCAAUAUACAGUGUAGCCCAGCUUUUCCUGCUCAUGUUCCCCACAAGCCCGAGCCUUACCCUGCACUCCCUUCCUCUGCAGAAGCCAGGACCCACCCACCAGUUGCCAUCUUCUCCUAAGGAGAGAACUAGGACAUGUAUGUAUAUGCCUCUGGAUUAAGCUUUUCAUCACUUCUACCUCCUCAACCCCCCUCCCCACGGUGGGAAAUUACUGUUCUGGUUUGCCUUAUGCUUUUAUUUUCCAGCAUUCCUUUCCCACUUCUAAUGGCAGCAUUGUCUUCUGUUGAAAAAGAAUCCCUCUCUCUUCCACUGGCUCUGGUGGGGCCAUUCAUUCCAGUACUCUUAUCGCACCCCUGGUGCAGGCAUUGACACAAACUAGGCCUGUCAAAAUUCUUAGAGGUAUUACUUACAGGUGGGGUGGGAGAAGUUCUGGAUUUCCUAGGACUUGCUAAAG